rnacentral:rRNA from 1 species
AACAAACGCUGGCGGCGUGCCUAACACAUGCAAGUCGAACGAGAAAUCCCGAGCUUGCUUGGGAGAGUAAAGUGGCGCACGGGUGAGUAACGCGUGGGUAACCUACCUUUGAAUCUGGAAUAACCAGCCGAAAGGCUGACUAAUACCGGAUAUGGUUUUUAGGACUUAGGUUCUCUAAAUUAAAGGUGACCUCUUCAUGAAAGUUGCCGUUCAUAGAUGGGCCCGCGUACCAUUAGCUAGUUGGUGGGGUAAUGGCCUACCAAGGCGACGAUGGUUAGCUGGUCUGAGAGGAUGAUCAGCCACACUGGAACUGGAACACGGUCCAGACUCCUACGGGAGGCAGCAGUGAGGAAUUUUGCGCAAUGGGGGAAACCCUGACGCAGCAACGCCGCGUGAGCGAAGAAGGCCCUCGGGUCGUAAAGCUCUGUCAAGUGGGAAAAAAAUCUUUUGAUCAAUAGUCAAAAGACUUGA